GGCUUUAUGGUGUAGUAAACAUGUCAAAUUGCAGAUUUGAAGAUGAGGUCUAAAGUCA
rnacentral:tRNA from 1 species